GACGUAGGGCGCGAGCGUUGUCCGGAUUUAUUGGGCGUAAAGAGCUCGUAGGCGGCUUGUCGCGUCGUCCGUGAAAACUUGGGGCUCAACCCCAAGCUUGCGGUCGAUACGGGCAGGCUCGAGUUCGGUAGGGGAGACUGGAAUUCCUGGUGUAGCGGUGAAAUGCGCAGAUAUCAGGAAGAACACCGGUGGCGAAGGCGGCUCUCUGGGCCUUACCUGACGCUGAGGAGCGAAAGCGUGGGUAGCGAACAGG
rnacentral:rRNA from 1 species